ensembl:lncRNA
GUGUGUGUGUGUGUGUGUGUGUGUGUGUGUGUGUGUGUGUGUGUGUGUGUGUGUGUGCGUGUGCGCGCUUGUUUGUCAGUGAGUGGAUGGUGUGUCAAGGAGUGCUUGGUGCCUCUCCCUGUAUGGUGUACGAGCAUAAUAAUGGUAUAUGUGCAUAAUUAGGUGAUAGUGUUAGUCUCUGUGGAGUACACAGGCCUGAAGUGUUAUGGAUGUGAGAUGUAUGUGUGUUUUAGAACUUCCUCUCCUAUGAGUCACACAGCUCUGGAAGCAGUGAGAGCACAAUCCAUGAAAUGAUGCUUUUAUAGCCGGGGAUUUAAAGUUCAUUUCAAUCAGGGAUUCCCGUGGUGAACCUCUAAGGCGAACGUUUCUGAUUUGAUACACAUUCCUACGGGAUGCGAUGGGAUGCGACGGAGAACACUGCCAGAGGGUGUGGCCCGCCGUGGUCUUCGACUUAUCUUUGACUGUGAAAAUGAAAAUCAGGGACCCAGGUAUCCAGCCAUGGCAAAACCUCUUUUUCCCUCCAUCCCUUCCUCCCGAAGGAGAAAAGCCCGAUCUCAUCCCUUCCUCCCGAGGGAGAAAAGCCCGAUCUCAUCCCUUCCUCCCGAGGGAGAAAAGCCCGAUCUCAUCCCUUCCUCCCGAGGGAGAAAAGCCCGAUCUCAUCCCUUCCUUCCUUCCUGCUGCCAUCCUCCUACGCCUCUUUUCUCCACUUUUCUAUGGAUCUGUGUCACUGUAGACUGACCAAACCUUCUGCUCUGUUUUAUAUUCCAGUUGUCUGUACUGCCCCAGGCUGUAGCAGCAACAUACGUACAGGUCCCUCCGCUUGAUCCGCUUUGACUAAUUCACAAGCAAACAGUGUUAGAUAUCAAUAGAACAUUUUAGUCCCGCCGGUGCCAAAACCGCAUAGCUAUAUGGGGCUGUUUGGAAUAUUUCAUACAGCUAUCUUGUGUAGCUGAACAUUAAACUAUGAUGAAAUAGUGGACUUGGUUAUUGAAACUUAGUUGAAAGUGCAAUAUGUGUGUUAUCUGAAACAUAGGUGUUCAGCUAGCUGGUGAAUGGUUAAAACAAUCCCUGUUUCCUAGGACUGAAGGGGGUAUUUCACAAAGCUGGUAUGGCAAUGUUGUCGCCAGCCGCCAAUGUACUUAACGCGACAUGGUCCAAAAAUCGCUGUUUACUCCCGCUUUGGAAUGCAAAUAGGCCCACUGCAGAUUCCACAUUCCCAAUGUGUUUUCUGGGUGUUUUUUACUCCGUAAACUAUAUUCUUUGUUUGUUCCUUUUAUUUUCUUGCCUCUUUGCCGCCUCUGUUGUGCAUUUGUGAGUGUGUUAUCUUGUCUCUGGAGCAUGGGGAUGGGCAGGGUUUAUAUAUUACUACUCUAUAUAGGGUUGGGAAAUUCUUUCUUUUUCACAAAAUUCCCAGGUUUUCCAGACAUCCCGGUUGGAAGAUUCCUGGAAUUAGGAGGGAAGGAAAUACAGGAAUUUUCCAACUGGGAUUUCUGGAAAACCAUGGAAUUUGGGGGGGGGAAACGUUAUCCUUGUUGUGUAUGAAAAUAGUGGUGCAAACAAUGUACAAUACAUGUUUGCAUAUAUCGCAAUCAGUACAAUCAAACGAUACAUGUGGUACAAUCAAUGUGGUGUCAGGUAAACAUAAUGGGUAUAAAUGAUACAGUCCAGAAGUAAUGAGCCAUUUUACCAUCAUCUGUUGUUUCUGCUCCGACUUCAAAGCUUAAACGAGUGUUUACUGUCGGAUCUUAGGGUAAUGUACCUGUCCAACUCGACCACCAGCUUUGAGAAAUGACCCUCUGGACUUCCACUACACUAGUACACAUAGUGUUGUAACGUCAUAGGUGACUUGUGUCGUUCUGCAUUCUAGUGUUUCCUCGGUUCUCAGUAGCAUUCCUGUAGACGUGUGGCUCCACUGUACGAUGGAACAACAAUAAAAACUCAACACUGGUGUUUUAGCCCUUUAUCCGGACUGGACUUUACUAGCCAGUGGCUUUGGGACUAGAAUUGACAAUGUGCGAGGGCCAGCCUUACAGGAGGACAGUGGAUGUAUCUCAACUGUCCUGAGUUGCCUCCUUUCCUUCAUCUGUCCUAGGUUGAAGACACCCAGGUUACGACAACCUAAUAAUUCCAUGAGGAAGCUUUUGAAAAAUCAACAGAUUCAUGGGACCAGUGCUGUUGCUAACUAGCAUCCCUGAUCCCUUCGUUUACAAUUCUUCCUCAUCUAUGCAACGACAUAUGGAAUAUUAUAAAUAUUUUGUCUUAACCUUUAUCUCCAACCUAGCAUCUGUACUAAACUUUAGGAUGAGAAGGAGAAAAAGAGACCAGGAAAUACAUGAGAGCUUAUUGUGUUAUUCAAAUCCAUUAACUUGAGUUCUAUUUGGCUUCUGCUGCAGAUCAGAGCCAUAUAUUUAGAUAUCAGAGCCAUUGUAUUGAAAUAUAA